UACUGGCUAUGAGGAUUAAUAUUCACUUUAUGUCAGUUCUGCUUCAGAAAACUCUUGAUCGAUAGGUGAUGUUAUUAGUCUGAGCCUUUG